AAAUUGAAGAGUUUGAUCAUGGCUCAGAUUGAACGCUGGCGGCAGGCCUAACACAUGCAAGUCGAACGGUAACAGGAAGCAGCUUGCUGCUUCGCUGACGAGUGGCGGACGGGUGAGUAAUGUCUGGGAAACUGCCUGAUGGAGGGGGAUAACUACUGGAAACGGUAGCUAAUACCGCAUAAUGUCGCAGGACCAAAGAGGGGGACCUUCGGGCCUCUUGCCAUCAGAUGUGCCCAGAUGGGAUUAGCUUGUUGGUGAGGUAACGGCUCACCAAGGCGACGAUCCCUAGCUGGUCUGAGAGGAUGACCAGCCACACUGGAACUGAGACACGGUCCAGACUCCUACGGGAGGCAGCAGUGGGGAAUAUUGCACAAUGGGCGCAAGCCUGAUGCAGCCAUGCCGCGUGUAUGAAGAAGGCCUUCGGGUUGUAAAGUACUUUCAGCGGGGAGGAAGGGGAUAAGGCUAAUAACCUUGUUCAUUGACGUUACCCGCAGAAGAAGCACCGGCUAACUCCGUGCCAGCAGCCGCGGUAAUACGGAGGGUGCAAGCGUUAAUCGGAAUUACUGGGCGUAAAGCGCACGCAGGCGGUCUGUCAAGUCGGAUGUGAAAUCCCCGGGCUCAACCUGGGAACUGCAUUCGAAACUGGCAGGCUUGAGUCUUGUAGAGGGGGGUAGAAUUCCAGGUGUAGCGGUGAAAUGCGUAGAGAUCUGGAGGAAUACCGGUGGCGAAGGCGGCCCCCUGGACAAAGACUGACGCUCAGGUGCGAAAGCGUGGGGAGCAAACAGGAUUAGAUACCCUGGUAGUCCACGCCGUAAACGAUGUCUACUUGGAGGUUGUGCCCUUGAGGCGUGGCUUCCGGAGCUAACGCGUUAAGUAGACCGCCUGGGGAGUACGGCCGCAAGGUUAAAACUCAAAUGAAUUGACGGGGGCCCGCACAAGCGGUGGAGCAUGUGGUUUAAUUCGAUGCAACGCGAAGAACCUUACCUGGUCUUGACAUCCACGGAAGUUUUCAGAGAUGAGAAUGUGCCUUCGGGAACCGUGAGACAGGUGCUGCAUGGCUGUCGUCAGCUCGUGUUGUGAAAUGUUGGGUUAAGUCCCGCAACGAGCGCAACCCUUAUCCUUUGUUGCCAGCGGUCCGGCCGGGAACUCAAAGGAGACUGCCAGUGAUAAACUGGAGGAAGGUGGGGAUGACGUCAAGUCAUCAUGGCCCUUACGACCAGGGCUACACACGUGCUACAAUGGCGCAUACAAAGAGAAGCGACCUCGCGAGAGCAAGCGGACCUCAUAAAGUGCGUCGUAGUCCGGACUGGAGUCUGCAACUCGACUCCAUGAAGUCGGAAUCGCUAGUAAUCGUGGAUCAGAAUGCCACGGUGAAUACGUUCCCGGGCCUUGUACACACCGCCCGUCACACCAUGGGAGUGGGUUGCAAAAGAAGUAGGUAGCUUAACCUUCGGGAGGGCGCUUACCACUUUGUGAUUCAUGACUGGGGUGAAGUCGUAACAAGGUAACCGUAGGGGAACCUGCGGUUGGAUCACCUCCUUACCUGAAAGAA
rnacentral:rRNA from 3 species